rnacentral:lncRNA from 1 species
GUUUUAUUUGUCUAGCAAAUAAGAAUAGUAUAGGGUAUCUUUGAAAGAAAAAGAAAACUCACUUUCUGAGAGCUCACAGGGAGGUUAGCGUUUCAUCAGAGCUCACCAGGGAGGUUGCUCGUUUGUUUCUCUCAAAGAGAUUUGGAAAAGGUAUGUAAACUUUCUCCUUUUGCAUUUUGAUUUGGCAAAGGUUCGAAUUUCAAUUCCUUUGAAGUAGGGUGGAAGUUCAUUUCCUUUUGACUGGGUAGGGUUUGAAUUUCGAUUCCAUUGAAAUAUAUUGUGAAUGUUCUCCUUUCCUUUGAGUGGGUAGGGUUUUAAUUUCAAUUUCAUUGAAGUACUGUGGAAGUUUUCCUUUCCUUUUGAGUGUGUAGGUUUUCCUUUGAUAUUAUCAUGAGAAAGAGCUUAAAUUUUUGUUCUAAAAAUUUAAAUUGAUUCCAAUUCGCUGAUUCUAAAUGAACCAUAAAAGUUGUACUCUUCUUCUGCAUAAUAGUUGGAUUGUGAUUAUAUUGAUGUGGGUAUUAGUUUAGGAAGAAAGAAAGGUGUGAGACUAAUAAAAAAUAAGGCGCGAUGAAAUUUGUCAUGUUCUGAUGAUCAGAAAUCUUUAUAAAUAAUUUAAGAAAAUAUUAUCUGGUCUUAUGAAAAUGGGGAGAGAUCAGUAAGAACAGAUUCAUGUCGAAGAAAAUAUUCUUAAAAGAUAAGAAAUGCAAGAACAAGAAAUAUAAAAGGGAUCUUUGAAUUACAUCAGUAAGAAAGUUACCACUAAUAAUUAUGAAAAAACAAAGCAUUAUGACAGCAAAAGAACAACCAAUAUUGAGUUUCAUUAUACAAAGCAACUUAUAUUACAAUUUUUAUCGAGCUGGAGAAUUCUAAAUUCAUCCUACGUACUUUUUGGUAAAAAAUUAACUCAGAAAAGCUUUAAUUUUGAGAAGUAGGACAUAAUACACCUAGUGGACUCAUUUUAGGAUGCUUGUAGUCAUGUGACUUGCACAUGAGACUGGGUCCGUUAUAACAGAAGUUUCACAUAAGGAUGAAACUUGCUAAGUUUUGAAUACAUUAAGAAUGAUUUUUGUUCAAUAUGAUAGUUGAAGGAUGUACAUUAAGUUUUGAGUAUAGAUAAAGGAUGUUUUUUUUUUGUCAAAAACUCUAAAUUCCAAGCUAUUAUAUGUUUGCUUAUAGAUGGUGAGUGGUUAAGGUUUAGACAAAUGCACUUUGAUAGUUUUAUAAAUAAGGCAUUCAAGAAGAUGGGCCAAAGUUUGCUCAUUACCUAGUUUCUUUGUCACAAACUUGAAAUUGGUGUAGACUAGAAAGAAUAUAAUCACUUUUGAUUUAUAUAUUUUUACAGCUUUAAAAACUGUAGAUGAAUUUCUAUAACCUAUUUUUGAUUCAAGGGCAAGUCAUUAAUUCGGUGGUUAGUAUAUUUUGGAAAGUGGUUAAAAGACUCUAAACACUAGUUUAGUCUUGUAUCUAGUGCAUGCAAGAUUUUAAUGUUUAAGUACAAUUAUUGGAUCUGUUUGCAUUUGUAUUUGUAUGUUAACCCCUAGGUCAGAAGUUUGUGCAAUUUAAGAUGAUGAAAUCAUGUAAUAGCUUGACCAUUUUAAGUUAGCUUCAACCUUCAUGUGAGAACAGGUUAUCAGUUUGAACUUCCACUUGCAUCCAAGAUAGAUUGCUCUUCUAAAAUGUGUGACUUUAUUUUUCUUUGUUGUCUGCUCUGCUGAGUUUUAAGUGUGUGAUAUGUGUAAUCCUUUUAUGUAUUUUGUGGCAAAUGGUCCCAUGAAUAUUAGAGCCAAGAUUCUCAUAUUGUUAAGAGGAUUUAUGCUUCUAUUUCCUCACUGAAUUACUUGCUCUAUCAUCUACAUGGCAUGUUCUGCUUUGUAAUUGUUAUGACUUACAGUGUUUGUUUCAUCAACAAAUCUUACCAUGUAUCUGCUAUAUCAAAAUCCCCUUAUUUCCCCUUCCCUUUCCAUAAGACUGCAGAACAUGAGUUUAUCUUUGAUGAUUUAAGGAAAAACAACAUGCAGAACAAGUGUUAUUGAUCCAUAGAAAAUAUCAAAGAAAUGUUCCAUGUGGAGGUGCUAGACUAUGAAAUCAUAUAUAAACAAUUUGUGUAAUAUUAAUGAAUGAUGUAAAGGACAUCUCUCCUUUAUGUUUUGUGUCCUCAUUCUUAUUGCACGGACUAAAUUAGAUGAUCGAAAUAGCAAGUGACAUAAAGAUGAGGUUUAUCAUGCUCCACAUUUCUAUCUCUGGUACAAUGUUUUUAAAAAUGAAAAACGCAAAAUACGACAAGGUUCCACAUAGAAGAUCCAACUGGAUGUCCUUUGUGUCUUUGCGACUGUUAGCAUUUUAUAUUGCCGUAUCAGACACUGGACAAUGUAUCAACUUUUUAGUUCCACUUUCUUUCAUUAAUUAAAGCUAGUAACACCUCAAUAGAUGGAUUAUUGAGGUGUUACUAGCUUUUAUUAAUGAAAUUUCUGAUGGAUUAUUCAUCUCCAAAUGAAAUUUCUGAUGAAUGCAAUAUAGUGACAAGUAUUCUUUGUGGAAAUACUGCACUCUCUAAAUACCUAGCAAUAUAGUGGCAUAUAUUGUGUUUUUAUUGGUAACAAUAUAAUGGUAAACAUUCUUAUUUUCUAUAAUACUUUUCCAGCUUGCUUUUACAUGGUAUCUCUCUAUAGAACAAAAACGAUACCUACUCUCUCUAGAAGAAAUGUUGAUCUAAGCAAGAACAAAAACAUAUUUCAGUCAAGUUUUUUGAUUUACUAAUUUCUUAAGUCAGGUUAUAUAGAGAUAGACAUAGGAAUGAAAUAAAUAGACUGAAAUAUUAAAAGUUCUUGCAGAUCUGACACUGUCUAUCAAACUAAAUCAGUAGCAUAAUUUUUCUUUGGGUGAGUAAUAAUUUAUUUUGGAGAAACGGCAUAAGCUUCCCAGGUAAACUUUCUUUUGCUCUAUAAGCAUAAGCUUAUACUGAUUCUUGUCUACAUUUGACUUGCAAAAUUUAUUCAUUAGUUAGUGUUUAGACUUCACUUCCAAGUGGAAACAUUGUGCAUACUGGAGUUGUGUGAUACGGCAGAUGAUGCUUGGGGCAGAUGGAAAGGAUUUCCCUACAAUAUCAGAGAACAAAUAUGCAAUAAAUUUAAGGUAAAAAAUGUAUUUUUAUGUCAAUUAUCAAAUAUUGAAUUUUGAAUCUAAUGACAUUUUUCUAUGGUGUAGACGAAAUGUGUAUGGCAGUCAUAUUAUGAGAAGAAAAUAAAUUCUAUUUUUGAGAAGAAUGCUCGUAUACAAGUAACUGAAAUGUUGUUUAUAGCUUGAAAAAUAAUGAAAAGCCCAGUUGACUACGAGCAGACAUAUGGGUUAAAUUUUUGGAGACAUGGAACACUACUGAAUUUAAGGAGAAGUGUGAGCGAGCAGAGGUAGCUUGGACAUCCGUAAAGGGUGGCUGCUUACACACCGGAGGUUCUAUGAGUUUUGCAGCCCACAAAACGAAAAAUGACAUUUAUUUCAGGUUCAAUUUCAUAGAGGCUUGGAUGAAUGGCGUCAGACACAUCCUACUCAGAGGUUGAUUCCUCAUCAUCUAGUGCUAUUACAUCUAUAUGGAUAAAUGUGGCAGGAGGUGUGAAGAAAGGUAGAGUUUACGGAAUGGGAGCACAACCUUCCUCAUUUAAUUUUCAUCCAUCAUCAUUAUUGUCUGGUGCUUCUACUUCUCAAUCUUCAAAAUAAAUGGAAGCAAUGCAAAGACAAAUUUCAGAGCUUACAGAACGACUUCAAUCAUCUGAAGCUAACUUUGCUAAAGUGCAAAAAUUUAUGGAGAAACAUAUGGUUGAAUCUGAUGAAAGUGAAAGGACCAACUCUGAUGAAGAGUAGACUAUUUUAUAGUUGUGUAGAUAUAUUUUGUGAGAUUUAGAAAUGUUUUGAACAUUUUACUUCCUUUUUGCAUAAUAACUUAAUACUUAUUAGACUUGAUUUUGGUGAUGCUUGAGCUGUUAGACUCAAUUGAAUUGAAUAGAAAGCAAUAUGAAUGUUUUGGAAUGUAUUUGAUGUUUCAUAUUAUUUUUGAGUUUUUUGUGGA